rnacentral:rRNA from 1 species
GAUGAACGCUGGCGGCGUGCCUAAUACAUGCAAGUAGAACGCUGAAGCUUGGUGCUUGCACCGAGCGGAUGAGUUGCGAACGGGUGAGUAACGCGUAGGUAACCUGCCUCUUAGCGGGGGAUAACUAUUGGAAACGAUAGCUAAUACCGCAUAAAAGUCGACAUCGCAUGAUGUUGACUUGAAAGGUGCAAUUGCAUCACUAAGAGAUGGACCUGCGUUGUAUUAGCUAGUUGGUGAGGUAACGGCUCACCAAGGCGACGAUACAUAGCCGACCUGAGAGGGUGAUCGGCCACACUGGGACUGAGACACGGCCCAGACUCCUACGGGAGGCAGCAGUAGGGAAUCUUCGGCAAUGGGGGCAACCCUGACCGAGCAACGCCGCGUGAGUGAAGAAGGUUUUCGGAUCGUAAAGAUCUGUUGUAAGAGAAGAACGAGUGUGAGAGUGGAAAGUUCACACUGUGACGGUAACUUACCAGAAAGGGACGGCUAACUACGUG